rnacentral:ncRNA from 1 species
ACCCACGACGUCUAAAGGCUUUUAAAGAACCAAGGGAAAUAACCCCACCAAACCCAACCCCACCCCCGCCCGAAGUCCCGUCACUCGCGCGGGUGACAAAUGGCAACUCAGCUGGAUUUGGGACGGGUUGGCUGGCAUAUGCUCGCCGCGACAACCACAGACAUGAGACGGCCCCCGGCGAGACGACAAUCUCGACCGAGGGCCUGACCAACGAGGAAGAAGCAACCUUCCCG